rnacentral:rRNA from 1 species
UACAGAGGGCAGCCAAGUCGUGAGGCGGAGCUAAUCCCUUAAAGCCAUUCUUAGUUCGGAUUGUAGGCUGAAACUCGCCUACAUGAAGCUGGAGUUACUAGUAAUCGCAGAUCAGAAUGCUGCGGUGAAUGCGUUCCCGGGUCUUGUACACACCGCCCGUCACACCACGGAAGUUGGGGGCGCCCGAAGCCACUUAGCUAACCCUUUUGGGAAGCGAGUGUCGAAGGUGAAAUCAAUAACUGGGGUGAAGUCGUAACAAGGUAGC